CCCUCAAAAAACACCUGUCAGCCUCUCAGGUACCUCGGAACAUAGACAAACCGCAAAACCAACGUCUUAUUCUACAGGGUGCCUUUAUUGACCCCCCACAAUUCCAACAAAGCUAAAAUACUCAGGAACCAUCUUCACACCAUUCAUCCAAGGUCGGGAUUGAGGGGCUCUUGAUUUAGUCAGUGGGAUCCUAUCUGCUACUGCCCACCUCUGGAGGAAACCAGACUUUCCCCCUUCGACUUCUGAGCCCAGCAGGUCCCCACCCGGGCCCCAAGGGACAUCCUGGGGAUGGAUUAGAGGGCAGGGGUGCAUACAGUGACCCCUAGGUUCCAGGGAUGUAUAGGGGGCUGGGCUGGGCUCCUCGAACCGCGCUAAGCGGUUGGCACUUCGAGCUCUUCGCUGGCAGCUCUCGGGGCGCGGGGAAGGGGUGACUCUUACCCGGAGGCUGUCCAGCGGGAGCCGGCGGUCGGCCUGGGCGGCUGCUGUAAUCCACUAAGCACAGCCUGGCUGCGCGCACUCUGGGCAGCAGGAACUGGCUCAUGUUGGAGAAGAAACCGCGUCGGAACCGCGCGGCUAGUCACUCGGAGCAGGCCUGCUGCUGCCGGCAGGCGGUGUCAGCGCCGGCGGGGGGCUCGGCGCCUGGGGCUCCUUCCGGGCUCCCCACCAGCUCCGGAGGCGGCCGCGGUGCGUCCGGAGCUAGCGGCGGUAGGGUCAGGCCCGGCGCCGGGCAGGAGCCGAGGCCGCAACGGACCCCGCAACCCCGCAGCCGCCGACUGGAGCCCACCUCUGCAGAGACAAAGAUGCCCAAGGACUCAGAAAAUACCUUGGAAGUAGAAGACAAAAGCUUGAAUGUGAAAUGGCAACACUUUCUGCAUUGAAGACUAAAAAAUGUUUUAUUACACAAGGAGUUGGAGCAAGUUGUUGGGCCCUCUCAAGUCUAGAACACUUUCUACUGAUCUAUACACAUGAACUGAGAAAAGAGUGUUGAAUUCUAAAAAUUUUCUGAGAAAUAAUCUCAAUAAUCAAUUUGUCUUUUUAUUUUCUCCCCUUUUACCCAAAUAAAGCAGAGCUUCAUGACCCUCCUUUUCAACUUGUGGAACGAGGACUGGGAAGAGACUCUUGGCACUAAGUGGCAGCCAUAUUUGCUUUUUCCCCUUCUGUGCAGAAGUAAGCAAUGCAUUGAUCUUUGUGGAACCUUACAAAAUGGCAUCCCUGAACUGUCUUUUCUCUUGACUGAGACCUACAUCCUCUUUUGUGUUUCUCAUUCUUGCAAGUACAAAGCCUAAUUCACUUGGAAAGCUUAGCUUUUUCAUUGUUAACAUUGGAGGGUCCUAUUUUUUCUUACAGGCUUAGGCAUAUUGCUGCAGCUCUGGGCACAAAAAGCACUGCCUGGAUUUGCAAAGGGUUCUCUGAAGAUUUAUGCAAAUUUUUGCAGCAAAAAAUGUUUGUUUGUUGCUACAAAGCUUGAAUGUUUACCGAUCUGAGCCAAUUAGAAAGGCAACUUGGGUGUUCGUCACUGUUCCUCUGUCUAUAUGAGCUACCAUGAUGGAGGGGUGGAGAUGUCUAGCCAUUGUAAGAGAAGGUGGCGAAUAUGUGUGAUGUGUAACUCCUCAGGGUCUUUAUUUGGAGACAAACCUAUGUGUUUUCUAACUACAGAAGAAAAUACAUAUACCUACAUUCAUAACUAACACUUUCUCCAUGUGUAUAAUCUAUGUAUAUGUACAAACUAAUUUCUCAAAUAUAUCAGUUAUUGAAAUGAAGUCAUUUUCUGUAUAUGAGCUAUGAUCAUGGUUUAGGGGACCAGCAGGGUCAGAAGGUUCAUUUCCAGAUCAGCACAGAAUGCCAAGGAAGGGAUAUUUUUACCUUCCCUUCACCUUUCCACCUCUACUCAUGCACUAGGUCCCUCACCUAAUAAAGAGACUUGCUCAAAUCUAUAGCUCUAAAAGUGAUAUUUGGGGAGCAUUUUUGAGUGGGAGAUCAAGUUUUGCUAAUAUACAGAAGACUCCCUUAAACCAACUAGAGUUUAGAUAAGCACAGGUCUUUGGAUAGUUUAUGCUUGGGGCUGCUCCCCAGCCAUGCCAUCAGCCCUAGGCAUCCUUCUCUGUAAUAGCCAAUAUUUCAGGCAGCAGCACACAAUGCAAAACAUUCUCAAAUCCAGCAUGUGCAUUUGCAGCUGUCUCCUCUCAUCCAAGUGUUUUAGCCUUGGCCACCCAUGUUUUAAAACUGUCUUUCCUGGAUUAAAGAGCCUCUUCCCAGGGUGGAAAGCCAGGUAGGUGGUGCUUCAUCUCUGACCUGGCCAAUACCAAUAUUUCUCUGGUUAGUGGAACAGCAGAAAGAUGCCUGGCAAUACCUAAGGGGGCAGGCAAGACUGGCCCCAAACUAAAGAUCAUCUUUUCUUACCUGUGCAAUAAAAACCACUCUGGAAAUUAAAA